rnacentral:SRP_RNA from 1 species
GCUGGGUGUGGUGGCUCACACCUGUAAUCCCAGCACUUUGGGAGGCCGAGGUGGGUGGAUCACCUGAGGUCAGGAGUUCUAGACCAGCCUGGCCAACAUGGUGAAACCCCAUCUCUA